UCCAUCAACCUAGGCCAAGUUCUAACAACUGUCCUAGUUUCAGUCUAGAGCCUCUAAUUACUAUGAUUUCUCCUGUGGUGGCCUGAAGAGCAAAGGUAUUUUGCGUUCAGCGAGAUUCCAAGGGGUGCGUGAGUCUUGCAGAAGCAUUUCUAGUAUGGACUAAAAAAGCCUAUGCUUCGCAGUUGCCGUAGAAACCUGACGUCAUAGGGCGACCGUGACGAAUUUUUAAUAAGCCCUGAUUUGGAGAGCAGGUCUCGACCUCAGAAGUUUGGGACUCAGCUGAGAGUGUGGGGUCCCGCUGAGGGGGCUGAACCGCCUUGGAGUGUGAGGAGACAGAAGAAUCCAGAUCCAGCUUUUCCCGCUUUGGGGCUCGGUGCCCCGGCUGUCUUGUAUGUAAAGCCAUUGUGGUCCCUCCCAGCUCCAGUGAGUGUAAGUGUUCCUGCUGGGGUGUCCUGGAGCUGCUUUCCUCUAAAGACAAGGAUGCGGGAGGUUAGGACAGUGGAACAACAGACAGGCAUGUGAAUUCUGAGCCCUGAAAACAGGAACCGAUAGAGAAGAACAAAGUGUGAUGUAGAGUGUGCUAGACUGGUUCCUAGAGCAAGAAUGAACAGAUCAGGGUCCCAUCAUUGGGACACUUUAGAUGCUGAAUUUCUGGGACUCAGGAUGAAAAUUGGACUAAACUUGUUUGAAAUGGAGUCCAUUUGAGGUCAAGCCUCAACACCUCAUAGGGUGAGCAUUAACAUCCAUUUUGCUGCCUGUGGACCUUUCCACUUAUGCAGUUGUACAAGGAAAAUACUUCAAAGCUGUUUUAAUCCACGUGUGUUGAUUACCCUGGGCCCUGGUCUGAAGGAGCCUGUGACUGAAGUUCUCCCUGAAUCCAAGCGUUGAAGCAUUUUCCCCUCUGGCUGCUGUGGGCUGAGUGCUGGGAAACCUCAUGCAGCUUUUACCUUUCUCUCUCAGUUGAACAUCAAAUCAGUGUGUGGACUCUGACCCCAGAAAGAAGAGUUGAAAGAGAAAAACCAAAUAGGAUGUUCAGUGUGCUUGACAAUUUCCUGGAGCAAGAGUGAAGAGAACAGGAUCCCAUCACUGAGACAUUUUAGGUAGAAUUCUUCUGUGAAACAAAGUACCCCUCAGCGACUACAUGGUUAUACUGAAGAAUAGUCCAUAUAGAAGGGAAGGAUGAAUGCUUACUUCUUUUGCAGUAUUUCCACUUUUCAAAACAAUGUGUUGUUUUUCCAGAAUACUUCAAAGGUAAACAGUGAGUUUGUUUUAUGCUUUUUGUUGUUCUUUUAUAGUGUCAUAAUGAGCUUUAAAUGCUUAUAUAUUUGAGAUUGUAAUUAACUUAUUGCAGACAUUAAAAGUUUUGAUAUUUAAACUUUCCUGUCUUUGGCCUGUGGGAGUUCCUUUGGGUUGGCUUUUAUGUCUUUCACAUGCUUUCUGGUAUGAGAGUUUGGUCCAGAUUCACUUGGUACAAUCCCUAUCCAGCUCUGCAAUCAGGCAUUUCUCCAAGAAAUCCUGGUUCCAUCUAGAGGGAAAUGUUUUUAGAGGAUUCAAUCUGGAAACUAAAAAUGCUCAUUGCUAUUUGUUUGGUCACUGUUUCUUGCGUUGGAGCCUGUAGAUAUGAAUUAUAAUUUUUAUGAAAAUACAUCUCAUCCUUGUCAACCCUGAUCUGCUCCUCUGUGAUGUUAUAGGUAAUCAUUUUUCUCAGUUUUUGUUUUAACCCUCCAGUUAAGAAAAUAUAAUAAAAUACAAUAUGUAUUUUAGUUUUAUCCCCUGUUCAUAGGUAAAAGGUGGCAUAUUCUACACCAGUGUUGUAAAAUAGACAUUUCUGCAGAAAUGAAAAUAUUCUGUGUCCAUGCUGCUGAAUAUGGUAGCCACUAGCUACCAUGGGUGUUAAGGUUCUAAAAUAUGGCUACUACCACUGAGAAACUAAUGUUUAAUUUCACUGAAAUUUAAAUAGCCCUGUAUGACUAGAGGGUACGCUAUUGGAUGACAGCAGCUCCACACAUUUUUCUGCACUUCGCUUUUUUCCCAAACAACUAUCCUGGAUAUCAUUCCAUAGCAGUCCAGAGGUGAAGUCUUCAUUGGUUUUCUAGCUGAAUGGUACACCAGGACAUAGAUGUGUCAUAGCUUCUUAAUUUAGGCCCUUAUUAUUAGACAGCUGUCUUUUUUCUAGUCUUCUGCUGUUAUGAAUUUUUCUAUAAAUGAAUAUCUUUACACUUUGGCUAUUUUAUUUUUUGCAUUGCUUCUUUGGAAUAGAUUCUUAAAAGAGAGGUUACUGGUUCCAAGAGGAAACAGAUAUGUGAUUUUACUAGACAGCCAUCAAAUACCAUCCACUGGGUUUCUACCAAUUUACAUUUCCUCCAGUGAUGCAUGGAAAUUCCCAUUUCUUCACAGAAUACCUGAUUAAGAAGUACUUUUUUUUUUCUUGGCAUGUCUUAUCAUGAGUUAAGUUGAGCAAUUUUUACAUGUUUUAGGGUCUUUUUUUUCUGAUAAAAUACCUGUUUGUAUUCAUCACCCCUUUUUCUUCCCUGGUGUUGUUCCCUUUACUUUUUCAUGAUUCUUGAUAUAUCAGGAAUACAACCUUUGUGAUGUAAGUUGUAAAUAUUUUCCCCAAUUUGUAACUUUUCAUUUUACUGUGCUUAUGUUUU